rnacentral:rRNA from 1 species
AGAGUUUGAUCCUGGCUCAGAUUGAACGCUGGCGGCAUGCCUAACACAUGCAAGUCGAACGGCAGCACAGUAAAGAUUUCGGUCUUUAUGGGUGGCGAGUGGCGGACGGGUGAGUAACACGUAGGAAUCUGUCCUGGAGAGUGGGAUAACCCGAGGAAACUCGGGCUAAUACCGCAUGACAUCGAGAGAUUAAAAGCAGGGGACCGAAAGGCCUUGUGCUCUGGGGUGAGCCUACGUCGGAUUAGCUAGUUGGUGGGGUAAGAGCCUACCAAGGCGACGAUCCGUAGCUGGUCUGAGAGGAUGACCAGCCACACUGGGACUGAGACACGGCCCAGACUCCUACGGGAGGCAGCAGUGGGGAAUCUUGGACAAUGAGGGAAACCCUAACCCAGCGAUGCCGCGUGUGUGAAGAAGGCCUUCGGGUUGUAAAGCACUUUAGGUGGGGAAGAAAGGUAGAGAGUGAAUAAUUUUCUGCUAUGACGGUACCCGCAGAAUAAGCACCGGCUAACUCUGUGCCAGCCGCCGCGGUAAUUC